GGAAAAAAAGUUAAGGAUACAGUUGACCGUUCGAUAAUGUAGCCCACUGUUGACCAGAAGCCCUACCCACAACAUAAACAGGCAAUAACACAUAUUUUGUAUGUGUAUUAUAUAGUAUAUUCUUAACAAUAAAGUAAACUAGAGAAAAGAACAUGUAUCAAGAAAAUCAUAAGGAAGAGAAAACACAUUUACAGUACUGUACUGUAUUUAUUGGUACCAUACAUUUAUGUUGCUGUUUACAAGAUGAAGCAUCUGUCUGAAAUGGCCAGCAGCUACAGCUGUACCUAUCUACUGUACAUAUCAAGCAAGUCACUUUAUUCUUAUAAUGUCUAUGACUUCUUUCUUUGAAAGCGCUUCCAUCAUCACUGUUGGCACUUCAUAUGGGUCUCAUGGUGUUAAGGUUUACGGCAUUGCACUAGACACAAUGAAAACUACACAAGAGGGCCGGGCACGGUGGCUCACGCCUGUAAUCCCAGCACUUUGGGAGGCCGAGGCGGGCGGAUCAUGAGGUCAGGAGAUUGAGACCAUCCUGGCUAACACAGUGAAACCCUGUCUCUAUUAAAAAUAAAAAAAUUAGCCAGGCAUGGUGGCACGUGCCUGUAAUCCCAGCUAAUCGGGAGGCUGAGGCAGGAGAAUCGCUUUUUCCCAGAAGGCGUAGGUUGCAGUGAGCCGAGAUCGUGCCACUGCACUCCAGCCUGGAUGAUAGAGGGAGACUCUGUCGCAAAAAAAAAGAAAAGAAAAAGAAAAGAAAAGAAAAACACACAAGAGCCGUGAGAGAGAUAGCUUUUGAUUGCAAUACACAAUUUACUGGAGAGAUGAGCUGAUCAUACAGAGAUGAUUAGUGUCACACAGUGUUUUAAACAGAUUCUUGCAACCCUGGAGUUCACUGCAGUAGCAACAGAAGUUAGCUAUGAGAUUUUAACAGUAGUAUAGUAUGUACUACAGUUAAUAUUAGGUAGCUAUGAUUUAAUGCUGCAUCUUUGCAUUUGUUUACAUUUAUCUUGACUACAAGUGGUAUUAUGUCUGGUCUUAAGGUUUGUGUGCAUAUGUUUUGAUGAAUUUUAACUUUUUAUAAUAGGUUUGUGUAUAUUUUAUGGCAGUAAAUGAUAAAACAGACUAAUCUACAUAUAUUUUAUGUAGUCAUGACAUAAACCUAACUUUUUCUUAACUUUUUGAUAUUUCUAGUCUAUGUGUUUCAUCUGCAGGUUUUUUCAAAUUGUUGAAAUCUCUGAAAAAUUUUAUUGAAAAAAAAUCCAUAUAUGUAAGUGGACCCACACAUUUCAAACCUGUGUUCAAGGGUCAGCUGUGUAAAUAAUUUUCCUCAAAAUUAAAGUGGAAAAGGAGAGUUACUACUAGUAGAAAGUAGAACUGUACCCUUGGGCAGGGGUGUGUGUGUGUAGUUAAAGAUCAAUUUAACUUAAAAGGUCUUGGUUAGAGAAUAAAAACUGGCCCUUAUUAGCUUUAAUUUACAUGAAAAAUGAAAAAUUUUAGGCCAGGCACAGUGGCUCAGGCCUGUAAUCCCUUAACUUUGGGAGACCAAGGGGAGUGGAUCACUUGAGGUCAGGAGUUCAAGACAGCCUGGCCAACAUGCUGACUCACCCUUCCCUACUGAAAAUACAAAAGUUAGCCAGGCGCAGUGGCCAUCCCUACAGUGCUAGCUACUCGGGAGGCUGAGGCAGGAGAAUUGCUUGAACCCGGGAGGCAAGGUUGCGGUGAGCUGAGAUCGCACCACUGCACUCCAGACUGGGUGACAGAGCGAGACUCCAUCUC
rnacentral:lncRNA from 1 species